rnacentral:rRNA from 1 species
UUAAGCGACUAAGCGUACACGGUGGAUGCCCUGGCAGUCAGAGGCGAUGAAGGACGUGCUAAUCUGCGAAAAGCGUCGGUAAGGUGAUAUGAACCGUUAUAACCGGCGAUGUCCGAAUGGGGAAACCCAGUGCAAUUCGUUGCACUAUCGUUAACUGAAUACAUAGGUUAACGAGGCGAACCGGGGGAACUGAAACAUCUAAGUACCCCGAGGAAAAGAAAUCAACCGAGAUUCCCCCAGUAGCGGCGAGCGAACGGGGAGCAGCCCAGAGUCUGAAUCAGCUUGUGUGUUAGUGGAACGGUCUGGAAAGUCCGACGGUACAGGGUGAUAGUCCCGUACACCAAAAUGCACAGGCUGUGAACUCGAAGAGUAGGGCGGGACACGUGGUAUCCUGUCUGAAUAUGGGGGGACCAUCCUCCAAGGCUAAAUACUCCUGACUGACCGAUAGUGAACCAGUACCGUGAGGGAAAGGCGAAAAGAACCCCGGCGAGGGGAGUGAAAAAGAACCUGAAACCGUGUACGUACAAGCAGUGGGAGCACCUUCGGGUGUGACUGCGUACCUUUUGUAUAAUGGGUCAGCGACUUAUAUUCUGUAGCAAGGUUAACCGUAUAGGGGAGCCGCAGGGAAACCGAGUCUUAACUGGGCGUUAAGUUGCAGGGUAUAGACCCGAAACCCGGUGAUCUAGCCAUGGGCAGGUUGAAGGUUGGGUAACACUAACUGGAGGACCGAACCGACUAAUGUUGAAAAAUUAGCGGAUGACUUGUGGCUGGGGGUGAAAGGCCAAUCAAACCGGGAGAUAGCUGGUUCUCCCCGAAAGCUAUUUAGGUAGCGCCUCGUGAACUCAUCUUCGGGGGUAGAGCACUGUUUCGGCUAGGGGGUCAUCCCGACUUACCAACCCGAUGCAAACUACGAAUACCGAAGAAUGUUAUCACGGGAGACACACGGCGGGUGCUAACGUCCGUCGUGAAGAGGGAAACAACCCAGACCGCCAGCUAAGGUCCCAAAGUCAUGGUUAAGUGGGAAACGAUGUGGGAAGGCACAGACAGCCAGGAUGUUGGCUUAGAAGCAGCCAUCAUUUAAAGAAAGCGUAAUAGCUCACUGGUCGAGUCGGCCUGCGCGGAAGAUGUAACGGGGCUAAACCAUGCACCGAAGCUGCGGCAGCGACACUAUGUGUUGUUGGGUAGGGGAGCGUUCUGUAAGCCUGCGAAGGUGUGCUGUGAGGCAUGCUGGAGGUAUCAGAAGUGCGAAUGCUGACAUAAGUAACGAUAAAGCGGGUGAAAAGCCCGCUCGCCGGAAGACCAAGGGUUCCUGUCCAACGUUAAUCGGGGCAGGGUGAGUCGACCCCUAAGGCGAGGCCGAAAGGCGUAGUCGAUGGGAAACAGGUUAAUAUUCCUGUACUUGGUGUUACUGCGAAGGGGGGACGGAGAAGGCUAUGUUAGCCGGGCGACGGUUGUCCCGGUUUAAGCAUGUAGGCUGAUUAUCCAGGCAAAUCCGGAUAAUCAAGGCUGAGGUGUGAUGACGAGGCACUACGGUGCUGAAGUAACAAAUGCCCUGCUUCCAGGAAAAGCCUCUAAGCAUCAGGUAACAUCAAAUCGUACCCCAAACCGACACAGGUGGUCAGGUAGAGAAUACCAAGGCGCUUGAGAGAACUCGGGUGAAGGAACUAGGCAAAAUGGUGCCGUAACUUCGGGAGAAGGCACGCUGGUGUGUAGGUGAAGUCCCUGCGGAUGGAGCUGAGACCAGUCGAAGAUACCAGCUGGCUGCAACUGUUUAUUAAAAACACAGCACUGUGCAAACACGAAAGUGGACGUAUACGGUGUGACGCCUGCCCGGUGCCGGAAGGUUAAUUGAUGGGGUUAUCCGUAAGGAGAAGCUCUUGAUCGAAGCCCCGGUAAACGGCGGCCGUAACUAUAACGGUCCUAAGGUAGCGAAAUUCCUUGUCGGGUAAGUUCCGACCUGCACGAAUGGCGUAAUGAUGGCCAGGCUGUCUCCACCCGAGACUCAGUGAAAUUGAACUCGCUGUGAAGAUGCAGUGUACCCGCGGCAAGACGGAAAGACCCCGUGAACCUUUACUAUAGCUUGACACUGAACAUUGAGCCUUGAUGUGUAGGAUAGGUGGGAGGCUUUGAAGCGUGGACGCCAGUCUGCGUGGAGCCAACCUUGAAAUACCACCCUUUAAUGUUUGAUGUUCUAACGUUGGCCCCUUACCGGGGUUGCGGACAGUGUCUGGUGGGUAGUUUGACUGGGGCGGUCUCCUCCCAAAGCGUAACGGAGGAGCACGAAGGUUAGCUAAUCCUGGUCGGACAUCAGGAGGUUAGUGCAAUGGCAUAAGCUAGCUUGACUGCGAGCGUGACGGCGCGAGCAGGUGCGAAAGCAGGUCAUAGUGAUCCGGUGGUUCUGAAUGGAAGGGCCAUCGCUCAACGGAUAAAAGGUACUCCGGGGAUAACAGGCUGAUACCGCCCAAGAGUUCAUAUCGACGGCGGUGUUUGGCACCUCGAUGUCGGCUCAUCACAUCCUGGGGCUGAAGUAGGUCCCAAGGGUAUGGCUGUUCGCCAUUUAAAGUGGUACGCGAGCUGGGUUUAGAACGUCGUGAGACAGUUCGGUCCCUAUCUGCCGUGGGCGCUGGAGAAUUGAGGGGGGCUGCUCCUAGUACGAGAGGACCGGAGUGGACGCAUCACUGGUGUUCGGGUUGUCAUGCCAAUGGCACUGCCCGGUAGCUAAAUGCGGAAGAGAUAAGUGCUGAAAGCAUCUAAGCACGAAACUUGCCCCGAGAUGAGUUCUCCCUGAGACUUUAAGUCUCCUGAAGGAACGUUGAAGACGACGACGUUGAUAGGCCGGGUGUGUAAGCGCAGCGAUGCGUUGAGCUAACCGGUACUAAUGAACCGUGAGGCUUAACCUU